rnacentral:rRNA from 1 species
CCGGUGAAUACGUUCCCGGGCCUUGUACACACCGCCCGUCAAGCCAUGGAAGCUGGGGGUGCCUGAAGUCGGUGACCGUAAGGAGCUGCCUAGGGUAAAACCGGUAACUAGGGCU